rnacentral:misc_RNA from 1 species
GCAUUUUGAUUAUUUUUGACAUAAUUAAUAGUAAAUUAGAUAGAAAAUUAAACAGAGGGAGUAAUAUAUAAGUUUAUUAAAGUAUCAAAGACUAAAUAGGUGAAUGUUCGAAAUACAAGGACUAAUUUCUAAAUUUUACUAAGUAUCAAGGAUUAAAUUGUAUUUCUCCUAAAUUUUUUGGAUGACCUACGGCUAAUUUCCCCUGUUUGCUAACAGCGCAUAAGCGUCAAUUUGAAGCAUUUUUUUUGUCAAAAAAUUAACUUCAAAACCCUACUUAAAAAUGCUAGAUUUUAAAAUUUACCCAUAAUAUAAAAACACAUGAAAAU